GGUUCGAUUAUGGCUCAGAUUGAACGCUGGCGGGAUGCUUCCCACAUGCAGUCGAACGGCAGCACGGACUUCGGUCUGGUGGCGAGUGGCAGACAGGUGAGUAAUGUAUCAAGGAACUUGUGCCUAGUAGCGGGGGAUAACUACGCGUAGCUAAUACCACGCUUCUACGCCCUUCCAGGGGGAAAGCGGGGACCUUCGGGCCUCAUAUGAAACGGCCGAUAUCGGAUUAGCUAGUUGGUCAGAAUGGCGGCUCACCAAGGCGACGAUCCGUAGCUGAUUUGAGAGGACAGCCAGCCACACUGGGACUGGGGCUUUGACCCAGACUCCUACGGGAGGCAGCAGUGGAAUUUUGGACAAUGGGGAAACCCUGAUCCAGCCAUCCCGCGUGUGCGAUGAAGGCCUUCGGGUUGUAAAGCACUUUUGGCAGGAAAGAAACAGCGCGGGAUAAUACCCCGUGCAACUGACGGUACCUGCAGAAUAAGCACCGGCCUAACUACGUGCCAGCAGCCGCGGUAAUACGUAGGGUGCAAGCGUUAAUCGGAAUUACUGGGCGUAAAGCGUGCGCAGGCGGUUCGGAAGAAAGAUGUGAAAUCCAGAGCUUAACUUUUGGAACUGCAUUUUUAACUACAAAACUAGAGUGUCAGAGGAGGUGGAAUUCCGCGUGUAGCAGUGAAAUGCCGUAGAUAUGCGGAGGAACACCGAUGGCGAAGGCAGCCUCCUGGGAUAACACUGACGCUCAUGCACGAAAAGCGUGGGGGAGCAAACGGGAUUAGAUACCCUGGUAGUCCACCUAAACGAUGUCCAAGCUAGCUGUUGGGGCCUUCCGGGCCUUGGUAGCGCAACUAACGCGUGAAGUUGACCGCCUGGGGAAGUACGGUCGCAAGAUUAAAACUCAAAGGAAUUGACGGGGACCACACAAGCAGUGGAUGAUGUGAUUAAUUCGAUGCAACGCGAAAAGCCUUACCUACCCUUGACAUGUCUGGAAUCCCGAAGAGAUUUAGGGUGCUCGCAAGAGAACCGGAACACAGGUGCUGCAUGGCUGUCGUCAGCUCGUGUCGUGAGAUGUUGGGUUAAGUCCCGCAACAGGCGCAACCCUUGUCGUUAGUUGCUUACGAAGGGCACUCUAUUGAGACUGCCCAUUCCAAAGCCGGAGGAAGGUGGGGAUGACGUCAAGUCCUCGGCUUCCCAUAUGGGUAGGGAUUCACCCGUCGCACAGCUGGUCGGGACAGAGGGUCGCCAACCCGCGAGGAGGAGCCAAUCCCAGAAGCAGUCGUAGUCCGGAUCGCAGUCUGCAACUCGACUGCGUGAAGUCGGAAUCGCUGGUAAUCGCGGAUCAGCAUGUCGCGGUGAAUACGUUCGGGUCUUGUACACACGCCCGUCACACCAUGGGAGUGGGUUUUGCCAGAAGUAGUUAGCCUAACCGUAAGGAGGCGAUUACCACGGUAGGAUUCAUGACUGGGGUGAAGUCGUAACUCAAGGUAG
rnacentral:rRNA from 1 species